rnacentral:rRNA from 1 species
GGGCCCGCACAAGCGGUGGAGCAUGUGGUUUAAUUCGAUGAUACGCGAGGAACCUUACCAGGGCUUAAAUGUAGUGGGACAGGUCUAGAGAUAGACCCUUCUUCGGACUCAUUACAAGGUGCUGCAUGGUUGUCGUCAGCUCGUGCCGUGAGGUGUCAGGUUAAGUCCUAUAACGAGCGCAACCCCUAUCGUUAGUUGCCAGCGAGUAAUGUCGGGAACUCUAACGAAACUGCCAGUGCAAACUGUGAGGAAGGUGGGGAUGACGUCAAAUCAUCACGGCCCUUACGUCCUGGGCUACACACGUGCUACAAUGGCCGGUACAGAGGGCAGCCACACCGCAAGGUGGAGCGAAUCCUUAAAAACCGGUCUCAGUUCGGAUCGGGGUCUGCAACUCGACUCCGUGAAGUCGGAAUU